rnacentral:lncRNA from 1 species
AUCUUUCAUUUGAAAAAACAUCUUUCCAUCCAAAUAUUUUCUAAAAUAUUCUACAAUAUUCUAUACGAUUUUCCAAUAAUUUCAAGCAUUUAAGCAACUUAAAUUUGGCUUAAUUUCUCAUUCAUCAAAUGAUGAAUUUCACUUAAAUAAUCAUUUGAAAUUGAUCACAACCAAUUUUCAAUACAAAAUUCCAACACGAGCUGCAUACAAUUGCAUUGUUUUAAUGGAGCACACAAACAGAUAUAGAAAUUGCUGGCUGGCUUUCUAAGUUCUCUUUUCAACAGAAAUUAAUUGAGCCUUAUCAGCACGGGUUUUUUCUGGUCCAAAACUCCAAAUUAAUGUAAUUUAACAACAACAAAAACAUACAUGUACGUACCGCUUGUAGGAAGCCGGUGACAUAAAUGGCAAGAGAUCGCACUCAUCUUUCCCGGGACAUACUGCCUCCAUUGUCACGUCUGCAAUCGCCAGGUUCACCACUAACACCGCAAAAUAGAUGCUAUAAAUUCCCCCACUUUUCCAUUUCUCCCUCUCUCGUUUUCUUUCUCUCAUAUCUAUAUAUACAGUGAUUUUAUCAAUAUACAGACUUUAAUAAUGCACAAGGAAUAAUCAGCAUUUUUAGGUUGCAUGAACAAAUCCUCAAGUCUUGAGGGAAAAAAAAGACCGUAGAAGACAAUGACCUUCUCUAUAAUAUUGUAUUGUAAAAAAAUUGAUACAUCAAUCAAUGAUUAAUUAAAAUAAUAAUCCAUCUGUUAAUUGAAUAUUAAAGAAAUAAUUAUAAUUUAUAAUACAAAGGUCAAGUUGAUGUGCGUGGUAUUUAUUAAUUUAAAGAUAUUAGUUUUUCAGUUUUCAACAAAUAGCGAGAGAGACGUGUCAGGGAAAUUCCUCGAUAAAUCUUGAUUUCGAGCUCAGAAAACAAUCAAAUGAACACCAAUUUACCUCGGCUCGACCCAAAACUUUCGCCUUCACUUUGGACAGCUCUUGCUCUCUCAAUCCUCACAAAGGAGAAAGGUGGUGGUGUUAGCAAUCCACAAAGGUAUUUAGAGGAGGAAGAAGAUAUCACAAUGGUUGAAUCUCACUCACAUCCUCACAUGGCUUCCUUCUCUCUCGGCUGCCUCUCUUCUCUCAACUCUCCUCUCCAUUGCUAUAACAUACACACACCAAAACGUCUAGGAGAUAGAUACAUAUAUAUAGGUUAGUUUAGUUUAGGUCACCAAAUAUGGGUCAAGAGAUCUCUAAGUGGGUUGCCAUAUA